rnacentral:rRNA from 1 species
AACGACUCUCGGCAACGGAUAUCUCGGCUCUCGCAUCGAUGAAGAACGCAGCGAAAUGCGAUACUUGGUGUGAAUUGCAGGAUCCCGCGAACCAUCGAGUCUUUGAACGCAAGUUGCGCCCAAAGCNUUCCGGCUGAGGGCACGUCUGCCUGGGUGUCACUC